UUCGCCAUGUUGGCCAGGCUGGUCACGAACCCCUGACCUCAGGUGGUCUGCCUGCCUCGGCCUCCCAAAUUGCUGGGAUUACAGGCGUUAGCCACUGCGCCCAGCCCAUGUACUUUUAUUUUAAAAGUUAACAUACCAAUAUCCAUAAUCUUGAUCUUGGCCAGAUGCAGUGGCUCAUGGCUGUAAUCCCAGCACUUUGGGAGGCUGAUGUGGGAGAAGCACUUGAGCUUAGGAGUUCAAGACCAGCCUGGGCAGUAUAGUGACCCCCAUCUCUAAAGAAAAAAACCAUUAGCUGGGCAUGGUGGCGCAUGUGAGUAGUCCCAGCUACUUCAGAGGCUGAGGUGGGAGGAUAGCCUGAGCCCAGGAGUUUGAAGUUAUAGUGAACUAUGAUAGUGCCACAAAACAAAACAAAUAAUCUUGACCUAUUCACUAGGAAACUGGACUGUCUAUAUAUAAUUGAACUUAAUAUUCUAUAAUCAUGCUUUUUGCUGCCUUCCAAUUUAUUCACAUUCAUAAAUUAUUACUAUUUAAAUUUUUAAUUAGCUGAAGUACUCUAUUAAUCAGUCUUUAUACCUGGCUCUCCCUAGCCACUUAAACUCUGAUUUCUUCAUUGAUACUCAGGGAUUCAAUCAACUUUAGAAGUAUGCUAGGGAAAAGAUCAGGGUAGCAAAUCUUCCAUAUAACAAAUUAUGGGGGAAAAGUUUCAUUUCAAAGUCAAUUCAAUGAAUUUUGAAUCAUUUGCUAUUUGUUUUCCAGGCCUACAAAAAUGGUAUCUUAAUCCUAAUGCUGAAAAAUGUGACCAUUUAAGCAGUUUCAAUGUGCUUAAAUUUAAAAAAAAAAGGCAUGUAACAAUUAUUUAUUUGACAGGUUUCCCCAAAACUGUAGUCAGGUAAAAUAAAUCCAAUCUGUUAUGUUAGUUUGCUACUAAAGGGGAAAAAAAGGAUCAAACUUACAGGAAAGCCCCACCUCCCCUCCACAUGUAGAAAUCUGUCUAAAGACUGUCUUUAAUGCCCACUAUAUAAACAACAUUAAAUAUUCUAAGUUACAAAAUAGUGUUAAUGGUUUAUUGGUAAAAAUCCAAACUCUAGAGUUUAUGGAAUUCGUAGUUUGGUUGGUAUAUUAACACUCCAUCUUAAUCUUUGCUGCUAUUACAAAGAAUGAGGAAAGCUAGAAAUAUCUAUAAAAAUAAAAUACCUUAAAACCGACAAGCAAAAUAUAAAAGUUGCAUACAAAUUGCCAAUAAAUAUAAACAUCACAAUAGAAAAAUUAAUCUUAACAAAAAUAAACUCAUAAUUGCUAUUAAGACAUUAUAAAAACAAAAAAGUUUAAUGUGCAUGUAUAUUUGCAAACAGACACAGUACACUCCAAACAAUAUAAUUUUACUAUCAUUAUUAUAUAAUGCAGCAUACAAGGUUACUGAGGUGUGGUAUUUUUUGUUGUUGUUGUUGUUUGCUUUUAGUCUUCUUUUCUGGAAGAAUGCUCACCAAAUUCACAGGAAAGAAGUGCCUAGGUGAUCAUUUACUGCUAUUUACUGCUUCCUGGUAUGGAGCAAAAUUGCCCUCUGGUAGGUAACUACAUUUCUAAUUAGUAUGAAAGGUUCUACUAUUUUCCUUUCUUUUGCUUAUUUCCCCUUAAGCACAAUUUGCAGACCCUACUUCUAUUUAACUGAUCAUACCCUUUUAAAUGCCUUGUCAUCAUUUUUCAUAGUUCCUGCAUCCUAGAAAAAAUAAAAAAUCAUUUAAAAUAUUCCUUGGUGUCUAGAAAAGAAAAUUUCUCUAACAAUAGAGAUUAUCAUUUUGCUUUCUCACUUAAGCUGAUCUGAAUGAUGAUUUGGUACUGCCUUUAUGAGCAGUCCUCCUUAAUAAUGACUAAUUAGGGCCGGGUGUGGUGGUGCAUGCCUGUAAUCCCAGCUACUUGGGAGGCUGAGGCACGAGAAUCACUUGAACCCGGGAGGCGGAGUUUGCAGUAAGCUGAGAUUGAGCCACUGCACUCCAGCCUAGGUGACAGAGCAAGACUUUGUCUCAAAAAAAAAAAAAAAAAAAAAGAUUAAUUAGAAAAUGUUGCCUAUGAUUCCAGGCAAGUUACAUUUCCCUUUGGACAUUGGUACUAUACCCAUAAUCUUGUUAAAAAGUUAAGUAGGUUUGCUGUUUUAUGUGCAUUAUGGAUUUCCUCCAACACAGUUGGGAAUUAAAAGAGGUAAUUCUACUAAAUAUUUUGUUUUCAAAUUUACAAAAUAAAUUUGGUGAGCAUUUACCUAGAUACUUUACUGCAUAAAAGCUUUCCUUGGUUCCCUUGGACGAGAUUCAAGACAACAACUAACAUUAUUUUUAUGAAACUGUCACACUCUUGGAGUUCUAAAAUAAUUUAUCUUUAAAAUUCUUAGCUUCGUGCUACUUGAAAAAUAAAAAUCUACAGCACCAUCUUCUGAAAAGGCACUUUCUAAGAACCGCCUUGCUUUAAAAAAUGAUUAAAAAAUUUAACUCAAGAGUCUACGCCCUGACAAACGUCUUUGCUUUACUGAGACCCUAACAUAGAUACAUUAGAUUCUGGUUACCUUAGAAAUUAGUCUAAAAAAGGAAGGGACCCCGAUGGCUGGAUAGGUGAUUUGACAGGAUUCUAAUUUUGUCACACCAUUUACCUGAUACUUCAACAGGGUUUCUCACUGGUAAAUCUCAACCCUCUAUAUUGAAUUUACCAUCCUUCUAUCUUUAAUUCAAAUUAAAAUCUUUAACUUCCAUAUUUUAAGAACAAAAGAUUCUUGAGAUUUAAUCAAUGAUGUAAACAUCUGGAGUACUAGUUUUGAUGGGUAAAGUAAUAUAAAUUUCAAUGAGUAGUAGGUAAUAUUAGCACAAGCCUUGACCAUUAUACCUUAGUUUAAAAAAUUAUGUUGACUGACAUGGAAAAUUAUAAACUUAAAUGUACCAUUUUAAAAGUAGGAAAAAAGUCAAAAUAAUUUUUCCCUUUGUGUGUGUGUGUGAGAUUAUAUAUAUACACACUCAUACAUAUACACACACACACACUCCCCCUCCCUGCUUCCUGGGACUCAGCUUGGCUUUCACUAAUCACAGUGUCAUUUCUAACACUGCAACGGAUCAAGAAUGUUCUUAGUAUAAGCAGGACUUUUUUAAAAAGAUUUUUUGGAGAAAAUUCUCACUUUCUGAUUUCUGUGCUGACUGACUUACCUACUCUUGGCUGAUUUUUUGACUCCUAUAGAAUCACAAAAGUGCUUUUCUAUGAUCAAAUAUGAGGACUGAAAUAGGAAAACAAGAGUUCUAAAUUAGGGUUAUACUGCUACACAGGAAGGCGUUACUUGAUGUCAAACCUCCCAACAAUUCUUACUGAAGCUUUAAGACAUUUAUGAAUUCUCAAAAAGAAUGAAAAUAAUGAAUACUUCAUAUGGAUAAAGCCAAAAUAAAGACGCCACACUAAUGAUAUUUUUGCAGCUUGACUAACUAAUAAAAGGUAAUUUAAGUAGCAAGUUACUGUUAAGGGCAACCUGCCUGUUCAACAGAAGAACAUCUAAGAGGAUAAGCUAAGCAAACAUUUAACUCAGGUUUAAUGAUACUGAAUGAAAAUUUUGCAGAGUUGUCAGUUAAACUUCUUGGUAAAAAUAUUAAAAUCAAGUUUGAAAUAGGAAGACUGCAACAUAUUCUAGCUGUAUCGAAGUCGUUUGCUUCUUGAAUUUCAUAAAAAUCACUGCCCUUGGCAAAUUCAUGUAGGGCUCUAAACAGAUCCAUCAAGUUCCUUGAGUCACAAACGGUCUCUAAUUCCUGGUCUGCAAUCCAUCUAAAUACUUCGGAUCCAUCACUGGCAUGCUUAGCGCUCACCCUUUCCUUGAACACAGAGAUCCGCUGCCAGUCAUUCCUGCUGAAGGGCAAGUCAGGUUUUAUUUCCCUAGACAUGCCUUCAGUCUUUCAUGACUCUGUCAGAAGGCCUAUCCUCCUAAAAUCCAUUAGAGAAUACACAAGCAAACACUAGGCAGUGGUGGGCUGUGGAGAAGCUAGCUUGGAAACUGGUCUAGAUCUUUAGAAGGCUGAGAAUCCCUGUGCUGGAAAGCAGAGAUGCCUCUAUCAAGUGCCUUCCAAAACACUCAGUAAUUCCUACUAGAAUCCCUGCUAGACUCUCUUCUAGGAAUAGAAAUAUAUUAAUAGGUUAUAAACAGGGAUUUCCCUUAGAAUGAUAGUUUUUCCAAGAAACUUGUUAGAAGAUCACUAUUAAGAAAAAGAAAGGGAAUCUAAUAUUUCUGUUGAAAUGUGCCAAAAAACCAGUACUGAAGAGGCUGAGGUACCCUUUUUCAAACUGUAAAAGUCAAAAUCUACAUUUCUAAAACAAAGAAUAUCCUGAUAUUAAAUUGAAACUAAAAUGGCAGCACCCUUUGUUACUUUGAUAUUCCGUGUCCUUACUCUUAGGAAAAAAAAGGGUCUAACACUAGCCUUGAAUCCUGCUUAUCUCCUUACUGUUUAGUGCAGUAACUGUCAGAAUCUACUUAAAUAAAUAUAGCAGCUACAAUAUUGUAAGUGUAUGGUCCUCCAUGCCAGUAACCUGAUACUGUGAUAUAAUACAUGUAUCAGCACUUUAUGUAGACACAUUAACCAUCAAGAAUAUACAUUAAACUCCCAACUCUUCUUCAUAUGAAAAUCAAUUAUCUAGUUGCCAGACUGAUAUUUUACAGUCAGUCUCGUAAGAUACAUCACAGAAAAAAGAAGACCAAAAUCUAGCAUUCAUGAUAUAGUUAGUGAGCAAGGGCAGGAGCAGAAGGGUCACUGUGAAUUUCAUGUUUAACUUAAAAAAAAAAACUUUUUUAAAAUAAAAAAGAUUAGAAAUUCUACACCAGAAAUGCAACAAUAAAUAGGACAAAUUUCAAGAAGCAUUUGUCACUUAGCCUUUUAUCUUAAAAUUCUAAGCACAAGUUUUCUUGUAAUUAAGAACCAAUGGUAAUUAAUAUACCAAUUUGUUAGCAAAAUAGAAAUAUAGUAUACAUACUCUUUCAAGUUAAUCAACUUUAAACUAGCAAUGCUGACUAGUGUAAGAGCACUCUAAAAAAGAAAUCACUCAAAAGGUAAAGCUUUAUAAUUUAGAAAAAAUAUUUUUCCUCUUAAAAAAGUCCUUCCAAAUAGAUUUAAAUUAAGGGCUCCACUCUAGCAUAUAUGAGUGACUGAAAAUUAGGUGAGAGAGUACAUAGAGAAAGGGUAUCUACAGUCAUUCCCUAAAGUUUCCCACAUGAAUCUGUGCAGCUCCCAUGAUAAAGGAAGAUGUUUUACUCACACUGAUCAAGCAUAGACGAAUUAAAUUUUUAUCAUCUUGGGUAUACUAUUUUCUUCUCUUGCCCAUGAUCCUGACUAUAUUCAGUAAAAUUUCAGUGUAAAAAAAUCCAUCUUUAUAGGAAAUUUUUCUGGAGGAGAUGGGAGAAGGCUGGGAGAAAAAAUGUAUAUACGAUACAAAUAUUACCUUUUGUAAAGUUCUUUGCAACAGUGUUGUAAAUUGCAUUUCAGACACUUCAAAAUAAUAAACAUACAAAAUACAGUACUUUCUUAGUUUUCUGGCAGAGGGACAAAAGAUUUCAUGCCUGUCAGAGGACAUGGGCUCAGAUUUUAGGCUCAAAAUACAGUGAAUUGGCAAUAAUAGUGGAUUACAGGUAAGAGAGAAACUAAAGAUCUAAAUCCAUUAGGUUUCACGUGCAGAUGGAAUUCUGAAAGGCUAACAACAAUGCCCACUGGAAACAAUCUGUAGUAUCUAUACUCUGAACCAGUGCAAAAAAAAAAAAAAUCAAAAUGCAAUUUUCAUGAGUUACAAAGUGCAAAGCUCCCCUGAAUCCAAUGUUACUGAUAAACUCAGUUUUGAUAGCUUUAUAGUACUUUUUAAUACCUUAAAGUGUAAUCAAUAAAAGUUUUGUAAAACAAUUUCCCACGUUUCAGUGAUUUAACUGAUUUAAAAUGAUCAAAGUCCUAACUUCCUUUGUUACUAUCACCUUAAUUUUAAAAGGAAAGUUAUACUGGUGAUACAUUAGCAAAAGUUUUAAAAUAUCAUCUUGCAUUUUCCUGAUUCAUUUUAGUAAAUGAAAAUGGGCAUCUAGCCAAUAUGAUUCUUCAAUAAACACAAUCUAUUUGCAAAUAAUUUAAAUAUGUUAAGCUAUUCACAAUUAUAUAAAAGUUCAACUUUAUUUCUAAUAUUCAAGUUGGACUCAUUUAGGCAAUUUCACUUCAUUUUCAUUAUGAUUUUUUUUUCUUUUGAGACGGAGUUUUGGUUUUGUUGCCCAGGCUGGAGUGCAAUGGUGCAGUCUUGGCUCACUGUAACUUCCGCCUCCUAGGUUCAAGCAAUCCUGCCUCAGCCUCCCGAGUAGCUGGGAUUAGAGCUCUAAUCUUUUAAAAUAUUUACCCUUUAUAAAACCUUUAAAGAAUUUCCAUGUAUAACCCAUAGAAACAGAAGGCUUCAGAAUACACAUCACUUACCAGAGAGAAAGUUACAACUUCUGACAGGUUUUAUAUUUAUAGCAGCUUUAACAAACUCACUAAAGAAAAAGAAUAGUAGGCCGGGUGCGGUGGCUCAUGCCUGUAAUCCCAGCACUUUGGGAGGUCGAGGCGGGUGGAUCACAAGGUCAAGAGAUCGAGAC
rnacentral:lncRNA from 1 species